rnacentral:lncRNA from 10 species
AGCAGCUGAUGUGGGGGGUAGGGGGGGCGCGGAUUACGCCAUGUGUGACGGCAGAGGGGGGACAACGUGUCGAGAGACGUGGCCUUGGAUGUAAGGAAGGGUCGUGAGAAAAUACGCAGGAAGAGAUACCCCGUGGACAUGUUUCCCUUGGAAAGUGGAGGGAACCCUCUGAGCCGUGAUUCCGCCUGAAUUAAGCAGUGGCGGGCACUGGCCUGGCAGGCGGCUUCUACUGCCUUGGAUUUGCACCUCUAAGGGGUCACAGGGGCCACCCCCGAAACAAGACAAAGUGUGAUCAUGGACAGGCCCUCGGGGGGCCGGAAGAAGGAACGGCUCCAGUGAUGAAAGCUGAACGCCAGCUCUCUCCCCAUCGUUCUCCCGGACCAGGAGAGGGCUGCUCGGCAGGGCUAGGUUUAAAAACCUUCCAUGCAACUUACGAAGGCAUCCACAGUGACUUCUGCUGCUGUGGUACGUUCUGCCCUCCCCUCCUCCCCGCCCCAUCCUGUUCUCGGCUACAAGUUAUUUAUAUGUACAGUGUCAUCUGAACGUGCACGGGCCUAUCCCAGGACAUCACACACAAAGAGGCGGCGGUGAACCCAAGCCGCCGGGCCGGCCUGUGGCUCAGUGUGUGUUUCAGAAGUCCCGGCCCCAGGCAGCUCUCCUGAACAGAGCCACUGGAACUCAGGAGGGUCAGGACCACAGCCCAAACAACUGCGACCGAAAACACCCUACAGGGCUUGAGAACUAAAAAAUAAGGAGGGAUCUGGGCAGCCGAGCUGCCUCCUAAAGAAGCCACGUCAUAGAGAAAACUGCUUGCUCUAUCCAUGAGACGGAGGCGGCCGGGGUGUCCUGCCAGCAGACACGGGUCUGUCCAUCACCGGCCACCACGCUGCCUCUGUCCUUCACUCCCAUUUAAGGGAAAACGAUAUCUCUUCAUCUUUCUGCCCUGGACAUUGGAAAUCAGCGGAAGAGUCUCUCCCUUUUGCAAACGCCAGCCACAGAGGUUUAUUUUUCUCCCUGAGAGAAGGAAGAGUGAAGGCUGAGACUGAGACAGAAGGACAGAAGGAGAAGACUUAGAAGCCAGUGAGCCCGGAACCACGAGACGCGCUCUGAGGACACGGGGCCUCGGGGAAACCGGGCACGGGCAGGGGUUGGUCUUGGCUUCCCCGCAACAUUGCCGCGAGCUCGGGUGCCGUCUCCACUCGCAGGCUGGCCUGUCCUCUGCAGCCACGAGCUCAGGCACCGUCUCCGUUCAUAGGCCAGCCUGUUCUCUGCAGCCUGAGGUCCCUGUGGUGCCAACAUCCAGAUGCUGAGAUAAUUCUGCCAGGGUGUUGGCUGAUCGGUGAUUGGUGGUUGGCUGUUCCGUGAGUUCUGCAUUGAUCUUGCUGGCUGAGCGUCCAAUGCGGAGGGGCAGGUGCUGUUAGGGUCUCCACUCCCAUCCCUCUCCCCAGGACUCAUCACCCACUGCAACCGUAAGCUGCUAGGGGCUCACAGCCGUGAGUCUUUGGGACGGGUGGUCCCACCUGGCAUGUAGCUCAGGCUCCUAGCCCCAGGACCCUGCCGCUGCUCCCCUCCCGCCCACAUCUUGGCUUAGCCGUCUUCCCUGGCUGCCAGCCCCUUCCCCUGGUCUUAGUUGGCUUGAGCCACUAAACUGAAAUAGCACACCCUGAGGCCUUCAACAGCAGACCUGAUUUCUCACCAUCUGGAGGCUGGAGGUCCAGGAUCCAGGCCCCCAAGGCUGCUUUCUCCCCCACUCCCCCACCCACCUUCCAGGACACGCAGACUCCACCCUCUUGCUGCCCUGUCUCAGGGCUGUCCCUCUGGGCAAGCAGGCCCCUGGCAUCCCCGUGUGUCUUCUCCUCCUGUUCUUAUAAGGACACCAGUCAUACUGGAUCUGGGCCCACCCUAGUGACCUCAUUUACCUUAAUCACCUCUGAAAGACCUUGUCUCAAAAACAGCCACAUUCUGGGGCACUGAGGGUUAGGGCUUUAACAUGGGAAUUUGAGGGAUGCAAUUCACCCCAUAAAACCCAGACCAUUCCCCCAGUAAAUCACUUUCACAAGAGCUCUUCUCUCAGGCUUUGCUUCUGGGGGAUCCCCCUUGAGAUGGAUCCAUCUAGCUUCCUGCUUCUCAAAGAACAGAGGGGAGAGCUCUGGUGCGAAGGGAACGGGUGGCCUCGGGGACCUGCGGAUAAGCUGCUGGCACUGCCAGGGGACAGGCUGAGCUGAAAGCCAGGAGGAGGGCGGCGAGGCCCGGGGCCGGACCUCAUUCUUCUGAGUGUUAUAAAAUCUGGCUUUGCUCAGAAACUGCCCCAUGUGUGCUUUUGUUAAUUGAAGUGCAAAAUUUUCUCCAAGUAAUAACUGGAGUCGUUUAACAAUACAAAUAAUUUGCACCUUAAUUUGGUCGAUGGCACAAUUGCUAAUUCCUAGAGACUCAGAGGAGCAAAGUGAUCACGAAUUCCAAGAGUGGAAACAAAUCCAUUCCGCAAAUUUCACCCUGGCUUCUUCCUCGCCGGCCUGGGAGCUGCCCCGAGGGUCCUGGAACCUUCAGCUGCUUCCGGGCUCAGCCGGUGUCGUGGGGAGCCAGGUCCUGUGGUGGCUCCCAGCCCCAAAGCUGACUCUGCGUGGGACAACAAACGGUUUAAUUAACCUCUCAGCUUUUUCAUCUGUGAAGCGGAGCUUGGGAUGCUUGCCACCGGACCAGGAGGCCACGAAGACGGAUGUUAGAAAACCUCUGUGCCAGUGACGAAAGACAUCGAAGCUAUAAUACCCUGUUAGGCAAAGCAAGAAGAUAACUCAUACAUGCAGGAGACAGUCUCCUUGUGCAGAGGGGCCUUUGGAACCGAUGUAUGGUGGAGCCCUGAGAAACCUGAAGCUGUGUAGAGCCUGCAGCCCCCGCCCCAC